UACGUAGGGGCAAGCGUUGUCCGGAAUCAUUGGGCGUAAAGCGCGUGUAGGCGGUUCGGUAAGUCGGCUGUGAAAGUCCAGGGCUCAACCCUGGGAUGCCGGUCGAUACUGCCGGACUAGAGUUCGGAAGAGGCGAGUGGAAUUCCUGGUGUAGCGGUGAAAUGCGCAGAUAUCGGGAGGAACACCUAUGGCGAAGGCAGCUCGCUGGGACGUUACUGACGCUGAGACGCGAAAGCGUGGGGAGCAAACAGG
rnacentral:rRNA from 1 species